rnacentral:rRNA from 1 species
CCUACGGGAGGCAGCAGUGGGGAAUCUUGCGCAAUGGGCGAAAGCCUGACGCAGCAACGCCGCGUGAGGGACGAAGGUUUUCUGAAUUGUAAACCUCUUUCAGCAGGGAAGAUAAUGACGGUACCUGCAGAAGAAGCACCGGCUAACUACGUGCCAGCAGCCGCGGUGAUACGUAGGGUGCAAGCGUUGUCCGGAUUUAUUGGGCGUAAAGAGCUCGUAGGCGGUUUGGUAAGUCGGUUGUGAAAUCCCCAGGCUCAACCUGGGGCCUGCAUUCGAUACUGCCAUGACUAGAGUUUGGUAGGGGACCACGGAAUUCCUGGUGUAGCGGUGGAAUGCGCAGAUAUCAGGAGGAACACCAGUAGCGAAGGCGGUGGUCUGGGCCAAUACUGACGCUGAGGAGCGAAAGCGUGGGGAGCAAACAGGAUUAGAUACCCUGGUAGUCCACGCCGUAAACGGUGGGCACUAGGUGUGGGGACUAUUCAACGGUUUCCGCGCCGACGCUAACGCAUUAAGUGCCCCGCCUGGGGAGGUACGGCCGCGAGACGUAAACGUACGAAGGAAGUAGUAACGGCGUGAGACGUGCCGACGGACGACGACGAGGGAGGAGG